rnacentral:rRNA from 1 species
UACAGAGGCGGCAAGCGUUGUUCGGAAUUACUGGGCGUAAAGGGCGCGUAGGCGGCCUUCUUAGUCAGACGUGAAAUCCCUAGGCUUAACCUAGGAACUGCGUCUGAUACUGGAAGGCUCGAGUUCGGGAGAGGAAUGUGGAAUUCCAGGUGUAGCGGUGAAAUGCGUAGAUAUCUGGAGGAAUACCGGUGGCGAAGGCGGCAUCCUGGACCGACAUUGACGCUGAGGAGCGAAAGCCAGGGGAGCAAACGGG